GGAUCCAGACUUUGAUUCUGGCUCAGGAUGAACGCUAGCUACAGGCUUAACACAUGCAAGUCGAGGGGAAACGACAUCGAAAGCUUGCUUUUGAUGGGCGUCGACCGGCGCACGGGUGAGUAACGCGUAUCCAACCUGCCCAUCACUUGGGGAUAACCUUGCGAAAGUAAGACUAAUACCCAAUGAUAUCUCUAGAAGACAUCUGAAAGAGAUUAAAGAUUUAUCGGUGAUGGAUGGGGAUGCGUCUGAUUAGCUUGUUGGCGGGGUAACGGCCCACCAAGGCGACGAUCAGUAGGGGUUCUGAGAGGAAGGUCCCCCACAUUGGAACUGAGACACGGUCCAAACUCCUACGGGAGGCAGCAGUGAGGAAUAUUGGUCAAUGGACGAGAGUCUGAACCAGCCAAGUAGCGUACAGGAUGACG
rnacentral:rRNA from 1 species